rnacentral:rRNA from 1 species
GCCCUAGUACGGCGAGUGAAGCGGCAACAGCUCAAAUUUGAAAUCUGGCUUUCGGGCCCGAGUUGUAAUUUGUAGAGGAUGAUUUUGGCGCGGUGCCUUCCGAGUUCCCUGGAACGGGACGCCUUAGAGGGUGAGAGCCCCGUACGGUUGGACACCAAGCCUCUGUAAAUCUCCUUCGACGAGUCGAGUAGUUUGGGAAUGCUGCUCUAAAUGGGAGGUAAAUUCCUUCUAAAGCUAAAUACCGGCCAGAGACCGAUAGCGCACAAGUAGAGUGAUCGAAAGAUGAAAAGCACUUUGAAAAGAGGGUUAAAUAGCACGUGAAAUUGUUGAAAGGGAAGCAUUUACUACCAGACCUUCUCCUGGCGGAUCAUGCGGUGUUCUCACCGCUGCACUUCGCCUGGUUUAGGCCAGCAUCGGUUUUCGUAGGGGGAUAAAAGCUUUAUGAACGUAGCUCCCUCGGGAGUGUUAUAGCCUUUUGCAUAAUACCCUUACGGGGACCGAGGACCGCGCUUUUGCAAGGAUGCUGGCAUAAUGGUAGUCAAUGACCCGUCUUGAAACACGGACCAAGGAGUCGAACAUUUGUGCGAGUGUUUGGGUGUUAAACCCUCACGCGUAAUGAAAGUGAACGUAGGUGAGAGCCCUUACGGGUGCAUCAUCGACCGAUCUUGAUGUCUUCGGAUGGAUUUGAGUAAGAGCAUAACUGUUCGGACCCGAAAGAUGGUGAACUAUGCGUGGAUAGGGUGAAGCCAGAGGAAACUCUGGUGGAGGCUCGCAGCGGUUCUGACGUGCAAAUCGAUCGUCAAAUCUGCGCAUGGGGGCGAAAGACUUAUCGAACCAUUAAACCAGCGGUAAAUUUACUUACUAGGUGGUUAAGAGGCCCCCCGUCAGGGGGGAGGCCUAGACGCCCUACCCUGGAGGUGCUACCCUGCACUUCCGGGUGGGCUGUCGACAUCGCUAAAUUGCGGGAACAUCCCACUACAAGGCUAGGGGCUACCGCCGCCUGCUGAAAAGCACGGCGGCACUGAGUGUAGCGCUCUCAGGCGUGGUAAAAACGCCCCUAGUAUCGGACGACCUGCAGCCAACCCCGUACUCCAGGGGAGGGUUCACAGACUAAACAGCGAUGGGUCAGCGGUUGCUGGCCUAAGACAUAGUCGAUCUGGGGCCUGAAAAGGCGCCCUGCAGCGGGCACGUAGGUCCACA